CCGGCGCUGCCCCGGCGAGGCGGGGCCGGGCGGGAGCGGCCCGAGCGCGGCUCCGCUCGGCUCCUGUGCGGCUGCCGCGGGGCCGGGGCCGGCAGCGAUGGUGGCCGCGCCGGGGCCGCGGCUGCUGGCCUUGGCCUUGGCCCUGUGGCCGGCAGGGCUCGGGGCACAGCCGAGGCUGCAGGAGGCCGGCGGAGGGCUGCGAGCGCCCGGGGACUCCGUCACCCUCUCCUGCCGCGGCUCCGGAUACCCGUUUAGGAGUCAUGGGAUUUAUUGGUACCGUCAGGCACUCGGAGGCAGCCUCGACAGUCACUGGCCAGGUGGCCUUGGAGCAGCAACCCAGGGGAGUGACCGUGCAAGAGGGAAAAGAAGCCACCUUGCAGUGCAGCAUGAACGGAGGUUUCCCUGUUCCUUUUCAGCUUUGUAACUUGCAUCCUGGAGAGGACACCGGGUUUUCCUCAACACUCCUGUAGCACAAGUUAUUUCUGGAAGUUCUCAGUGACAAAGCUGUGAAAGUGAAGAGCUAACUGCAAUAUUCUCCUGUAUACAAGAAGGAACAGUGCCUGAGAGUGGGAGCUCUGACCACAGGGCUGGUUUGUCCUGGUCAGCCACCUCCAGGCAGCUCUUCCCAGGUCUGAAUAGCCCAUAACAAGAGAAAAUCAGUAGAUGAUUUAAACUUGAAUGAAACCAGACAUUGAACCAUGUGCAGUAGUGGAAUCAGUCAGAAUUCUGGAGAAAUUCCAGCCCCUGCAUGGGGCCAGAGUUUCAAGGAAUGAACUUUCCUGCAUCACUCGUAUGCAGCACCUGCACGACACCAGGGUGUAGGGAUCCAGCACAGGAGAAGCACUCAGGGAUUAUGUGAGCAAGAGCUGCUUAUUAGAUCUGAGCUGCUUUUCUGUGCAGCAUAAUGUGCCAUGGACUAGGUGAGGGCAGAGCCGUGUGCUUAGCUAAAGUAUAAAAGAAUAAAUUCCCUUCACGAUAGUAUGGUCAGCAUCAUUGUGUCCGUGCUCAGGUGAAAAACAAUUGACGCGGCAAAGUGGGGAGUCAAGAUGUGUCGCCAGUACUCGAGCGUGGCCCCAGCAGUGCGGAGGAGCGAGGAGCCAUGCCCUCCCUCAGCUGCGGGCAGCCUUCAGCCCGCGGCAGCCCCGGAUCCCGGUGACCUUGUGCGCUACGAGGGCGAAUUCCUGGGGGCGCUGGCCCCGGG